rnacentral:misc_RNA from 1 species
GAUGGAAGAACGUAGCGAAAUGCGAUAAGUAAUGUGAAUUGCAGAAUUCAGUGAAUCAUCGAAUCUUUGAACGCACCUUGCGCCUUUUGGUAUUCCGAAAGGCACACCUGUUUGAGCGUCAUGAAUACCUCAAUCUCCAUCUUUUCUUCGGAUUGAUGGGUGACUUGGAUGUUGAGCCCUGCUGGUAUGCUAUAUCAGCUGGCUUUAAACUUAUUAGCCGGCUCUGUACUGGAUCGGUUUGACUCGACGUGAUAAUAUUAUCGUUGAGGAUGCAUGUCUCAUGCAGCCGGAAAGUAUCAAAGCAGCUUCUAGCUUGCCUUUAGUGCACUUUUACAUUUUAGACCUCAGAUCAGGUGGGACUACCCGCUGAACUUAAGCAUAUCAAUAAGCGGAGGA